rnacentral:rRNA from 1 species
CCUACGGGUGGCAGCAGUAGGGAAUAUUGCUCAAUGGGGGAAACCCUGAAGCAGCAACGCCGCGUGGAGGAUGAAGGUUUUCGGAUUGUAAACCACUGUCCCCAGGGACGAAGAUGACGGUACCUGGGGAGGAAGCUCCGGCUAACUACGUGCCAGCAGCCGCGGUAAUACGUAGGGAGCGAGCGUUGUCCGGAAUUACUGGGUGUAAAGGGAGCGUAGGCGGGACUGCAAGUUGGGUGUCAAAUCUACCGGCUCAACCGGUAGCCGCACUCAAAACUGCAGUUCUUGAGUGAAGUAGAGGCAGGCGGAAUGCCUAGUGUAGCGGUGAAAUGCGUAGAUAUUAGGAGGAACACCAGUGGCGAAGGCGGCCUGCUGGGCUUUUACUGACGCUGAGGCUCGAAAGUGUGGGGAGCAAACAGGAUUAGAUACCCGUGUAGUC